CCUCACAAAUCAAUAAAUUUUCGAACCAAAACUCACUUCCAGAUGACAUAAAGCUUGUUGAGGAGCCAAACAAUCGUAACACUGAAGAAAAAAUUGCGACACUCCAAUGGUUUUAGCAGCACCCAGGUGGACAUCCACACAUCGCUCCGGAGGAAAAAGUUAACCUAUUUCUCUAAAAUCUUAAAAAAAAUCCAGACAUUGCAGCAUUUUAUUUAAAAUUUAUCAAAAAUCCCACUCAAAUUCAACAACAUCGACGCAAAGCACAACAAUCACCAAAAAAAUAAAGCAAUGCAAUGCCUUACGAAUCGAGCACCUGGAUUCUUACCUAGGCGAUCCUUCCGGCUAUGAAUCGUGGAAAAAAUCCAAGCUUUGCUCUAGAAAUCUAUCGGAAGCCCAAACGAAAUUGAAGAAAUCGGCGAUUGGGAAUGGAAAAAAGAAAGACCCAUCUUCCCUCCUACCGGGACACCCCUACCUCUAGGAAGAAUAGAGAAAAAGAAAAAAAAAUGAAGAAACAAGAGAAGGAAGAGUCUAUUACCUCAAGUUCGGUGAGGAAUCAACGGUGAAUCGCGGAGAAGAGUUCAGCGGCAAAUCCAAAACAAUCGAAGGAAUGUCGCCGGCAAUGUUGGACGGGGUUUCGGAGCAGAGCAGAGUGGCGAGGAGGGUUAAGGGACCUUUUAUAGAUUCGGAUCCCAGGAUUUGGCCGCCCUAUUUUCCCAGCCGAAAACGAAGAAGAGGAAGAUUCCCGAUGGUAGCUCCUUUCCUCACAUGCACAGCUCUUGUUCGCUAUGGCCCUUCUUCGCGUCAUUCCAUAUAUAAUGCGUGUGCAGUAGACGAGAAUGAUAAGAGUUAUCAUCUUCGGACAAUAUUCUUGUAUAUUCCCAAUAAUAGAG
rnacentral:lncRNA from 1 species